rnacentral:rRNA from 1 species
UACGUAGGUGGCAAGCGUUGUCCGGAUUUAUUGGGUUUAAAGGGUGCGUAGGCGGCCCUGUAAGUCAGUGGUGAAAUACUCUAGCUUAACUAGAGGGGUGCCAUUGAUACUGCAGGGCUUGAGUACAGACGAGGUAGGCGGAAUUGACGGUGUAGCGGUGAAAUGCAUAGAUAUCGUCAAGAACUCCGAUAGUGAAGACAGCUUACUAGGCUGUAACUGACGCUGAGGCACGAAAGUGUGGGGA